UGUUCAUAUUAGACACAAUAUGUCAUAAAAAAUAACAUUUCUCCCACAAAGACACCCAAAGCGGGGGACCACAAUUCUUUGAAUUUGCUUGUUGUACAUGAUUUCAAUGUCGUUUAUUUUAACAACUAAAUGUUUGUCAGAAGAAUUUUGGUUACUGAAUUGAUUGAUUCUGGUUUGCUGAAGGAGUAACGUAGGAUUCCCACCUAUUUACCGUCUUAUCAGCGAUCAGCUGACUGGCCAAGGUAAACAACACAGACAAAUGGAGGUCUACAGUAUACCUGUACGUAAACGGACCAUUACGUAAAUUAGUAUAUGCAUCGGAUUUUUAUAGCGAUUUACUCGCUAUUUCUAAUGCCAACCAGGGUACAGAAACAUUUUCAGAGGGACAUGUGAUAAAAAUUCAUGGAUUUUAUUCUCGCCGUUGCGAUAUCAGCAGGACUCGGACAUUUGGUGAUAUUAAUGCUGUAUUGUGCAUUACUCUGCAAGAGAAAUGGGGGAUGCAGGGUAAAAAAUACUGACUCCAGACGCAAUACAACAGAGUCGCCAACAGAAAAUGCAAGCUUUCCAGAGGCUGAAAGAGGUCACAUGAACACAACAGUCCAAUCAAAUGAUCCGGAAACUGAUGAUCACCAGUCACCACGGGAAACAGACGACCAAUCACAAACAUUCCUGACGAACACGUGGGUUUCAAAUGUGAUGUCGCGAAUUCGAAACAUAACAAGAAGAGCAGAGACUAGAAAUGACAUUGAACAAGGGAGAGGUGAAUUAAACAUGACUCAUAUAUAUCCAGAGGGUCUUCCUUCGUACGAAGACGCAAUCAAAAACUUAGACAUGAUCCCCGACCCCCCACCCUCCUACGAAGAGACAAUGUUAGAUCCACCGAGUGUUGUGCACGAUAUUUCAUGAUACUAGCAUUUAUAGCCAAGUUAUGAAUUUUAUGGGAGAUAUUUUAUUUCAAAAAAGAUCGUUUCUAACAUUAAAGUAUACUUUAUGCAGAAUUUCUACAAUUUGCAAAAAUCUCACAAAGAUUGAAAUUAUUUGCCUGUGAAAUAGCAUACUUACAC